GCGUGCCAGUGAUGAUUUACGUACACGGUGAAUUCUGGAUGAAUGCGUACAGGCAUGGUGAUAUGCAGUUCCUGAGACGUUCAUCUGAGGCACGC